GAUGAAGAACGCAGCGAAAUGCGAUAAGUAAUGUGAAUUGCAGAAUUCAGUGAAUCAUCGAAUCUUUGAACGCACAUUGCGCCCGCCAGUAUUCUGGCGGGCAUGCCUGUUCGAGCGUCAUUUCAACCAUCACGCCCCCGGCUUGUGUUGGGGACCUGCGGCUGCCGCAGGCCCUGAAAAGCAGUGGCGGGCUCGCUGUCACACCGAGCGUAGUAGCAUACAUCUCGCUCUGGGCGUGCUGCGGGUUCCGGCCGUUAAACCACCUUCAUAACCCAAGGUUGACCUCGGAUCAGGUAGGAAGACCCGCUGAACUUAAGCAUAUCAAUAAGCGGAGGA
rnacentral:misc_RNA from 1 species